UACGAAGGGGGCUAGCGUUGCUCGGAUUGACUGGGCGUAAAGGGCGCGUAGGCGGUCCGUACAGUCAGACGUGAAAUUCCUGGGCUCAACCUGGGGGCUGCGUUUGAUACGUACGGACUUGAGUGCGGAAGAGGGUCGUGGAAUUCCCAGUGUAGAGGUGAAAUUCGUAGAUAUUGGGAAGAACACCGGUGGCGAAGGCGGCGACCUGGUCCGAUACUGACGCUGAGGCGCGAAAGCGUGGGGAGCAAACAGG
rnacentral:rRNA from 1 species